rnacentral:tRNA from 1 species
ACUUAGGUAGUUUAAAUAAAAUGUUGGUCUGUGAAUCCGGAGAUGUGCUUAAGCACCUUGAGUA